rnacentral:rRNA from 1 species
GUCUCUGGCCAUACCACCCUGAACACCCCCGAUCUCGUCUGAUCUCGGAAGCUAAGCAGGGUCGGGCCUGGUUAGAAAUUGGAUGGGAGGCCACCUAGGAAUACCGGGUGCUGUAGGCU